UACGGAGGGCGCAAGCGUUGUUCGGAAUCACUGGGCGUAAAGCGCGUGUAGGCGGCCGGGCAAGUCGGGUGUGAAAUCCCGAGGCUCAACCUCGGAACUGCACUCGAAACUGCUCGGCUCGAGUCCCGGAGAGGGUGGCGGAAUUCCCGGUGUAGGGGUGAAAUCCGUAGAUAUCGGGAGGAACACCAGUGGCGAAGGCGGCCACCUGGACGGUGACUGACGAUGAGACGCGAAAGCGUGGGGAGCAAACAGG
rnacentral:rRNA from 1 species